AUUGAACGCUGGCGGCAGGCCUAACACAUGCAAGUCGAACGAGUGGCGGACGGGUGAGUAAUGUCUGGGAACCUGCCCGAUGGCGGGGGAUAACUACUGGAAACGGUAGCUAAUACCGCAUACCAUCGGAUGUGCCCAGAUGGGAUUAGCUAGUGGGUGGGGUAACGGCUCACCUAGGCGACGAUCCCUAGCUGGUCUGAGAGGAUGACAAGCAAAACUGGAACGGAGACAAGGUCCAGACGCCUACGGGAGGCAGCAGGGGGGAAUAUUGGACAAUGGGCGCAAGCCUGAGGCAGCCAUGCCGAGUGGAUGAAGAAGGCCGUAGGGUUGUAAAGUACUGUCAGCGAGGAGGCGUUACUCGCAGAAGAAGCACCGGCUAACUCCGUGCCAGCCGCCGCGGUAAUAC
rnacentral:rRNA from 1 species